rnacentral:rRNA from 1 species
AUUGAACGUUGGCGGCAGGCUUAACACAUGCAAGUCGAGCGGGGUGAUGGUGCUUGCACUAUCACUUAGCGGCGGACGGGUGAGUAAUGCUUAGGAAUCUGCCUAUUAGUGGGGGACAACAUCUCGAAAGGGAUGCUAAUACCGCAUACGUCCUACGGGAGAAAGCAGGGGAUCACUUGUGACCUUGCGCUAUUAGAUGAGCCUAGGUCGGAUUAGCUAGGUGGUGGGGUAAAGGCAUACCAAGGCGACGAUCUGUAGCGGGUCUGAGAGGAUGAUCCGCCACACGGGGACUGAGACACGGCCCAGACUCCUACGGGAGGCAGCAGUGGGGAAUAUUGGACAAUGGGGGGAACCCUGAUCCAGCCAUGCCGCGUGUGUGAAGAAGGCCUUAUGGUUGUAAAGCACUUCAAGCGAGGAGGAGGCUCUUUUGGUUAAUACCCAAGAUGAGUGGACGUUACUCGCAGAAUAAGCACCGGCUAACUCUGUGCCAGCAGCCGCCGUAA